GUAGUUAUCGUCCUUCGAGGCCACGUGUUUGUUUAUUAUUCGCGUAAUCACUUCAUUUAUCGCAAAUAUGAAUGGACGCUAUAAUUAUUCAAAGCUUCGUGUAAUAAGGUUAUCUUUGUGUUAAGCACGACUCAUGUAACAUGUGCGAGUCAACAAGUGCAUUAAAACGAUAAUAAAGCACUUGGGUCUCUUGGGAAGAAAUGUUAACACUGUCAUAUCUCCCCUCUGUGCUGAAAACGGAGUAGAAAUAAGUCGAGGUUUCAGGCCUGGCAGACGAACAGCUUGAGAAAUACCGAGAGAAAUUGCUGGAAAUCUUGCCUUUAGCGUACAAGAGAACAUGUAUUCGCCGAGGAAGAAGUUGUGACAUUCGACCAAACUCCUGUUGUGGUGGCUCCUCCUGUCGAUGCAAUCUGUGGGGGACUAACUGUCGGUGUCAGAGACAGGGCCUCUUCCAGAGCUGGGGAAGAUGAGAAAAGUACUUGACAAAACUCGAAGUUAUGUGAACUGAAAUGAGCUUGUUGUUCUGGCUAUUGAAACUGGUGAAUUCUCCCUUCUGAAUAUUUUGUUCGUUCUUUACACGCAGCUAAAUGUUAUACUUAACACCAUAUAGAUGUCUGGUGAUUGUUGAAUGUCACUGAGAACUAUACUUUCUUGAUAACGUGACACAUUUGCUGUAUGCUAUUUAAUAAAAAUCUCAUACAAGUA